rnacentral:pre_miRNA from 1 species
ACAACAACAUUCGGACCGUCGGUCUACCAAGUAACAUCACCCGCUCGGUGGAAGAUCUUCCCUACGUCGUUAAAU